UGUCCCACAGGUGAAGACGGACUCGGUCGUGUCCUGCGUCCUCGACGCCGAAGCGGUCGCCUGGGACCGAGAGAAGAAGCAGAUCCAGCCGUUCCAGGUUCUCACCACCAGGAAGAGAAAGACUGAGGGCCUUUUUCUGCCACACUGCUGACACUGGGCUAAAAGUGUUUCUGUCUUUGUGCCGACACGGUGACAACGGAGGAAAUGAGGAAGAAAUAAAAAAAAAA